rnacentral:rRNA from 1 species
UACAGAGGGGGCAAGCGUUGUUCGGAAUUACUGGGCGUAAAGGGCGCGUAGGUGGCCUUCUAAGUUGAACGUGAAAUCCCUGGGCUCAACCCAGGAACUGCGUCCAAGACUGGGAGGCUUGAAUCCGGGAGAGGGAUGCGGAAUUCCAGGUGUAGCGGUGAAAUGCGUAGAUAUCUGGAGGAACACCGGUGGCGAAGGCGGCAUCCUGGACCGAUACUGACGCUGAGGAGCGAAAGCCAGGGGAGCAAACGGG